GACGAACGCUGGCGGCAUGCCUAAUACAUGCAAGUCGAGCGAACAGAUGAAGUGCUUGCACUUCUGACGUUAGCGGCGAACGGGUGAGUAACACGUAAGGAAUCUACCUAUAAGCGGGGGAUAACAUUCGGAAACGGGUGCUAAUACCGCAUAAUAUCUUCUUCCGCAUGGAAGAAGAUUGAAAGACGGCUCUGCUGUCACUUAUAGAUGACCUUGCGGUGCAUUAGUUAGUUGGUGGGGUAACGGCCUACCAAGACGAUGAUGCAUAGCCGACCUGAGAGGGUGAUCGGCCACAUUAGGACUGAGGCACGACCCAAAUUCCGACGGGAGGCAGCAGUAGGGAAUCUUCCGCAAUGGGCGAAAGCCUGAUGGGGCAAUGCCGCGUGAGUGAAGAAGGCCUUCGGGUCGUAAAACUCUGUUAUAAGAGAAGAACAAAUUGUAGAGUAACUGCUACAGUCUUGACGGUAUCUUAUCAGAAAGCCACGGCUAACUACGUGCCAGCCGCCGCAGUAA
rnacentral:rRNA from 1 species